rnacentral:rRNA from 1 species
CCUACGGGAGGCAGCAGUGAGGAAUAUUGGUCAAUGGCCGCAGGGCUGAACCAGCCAAGUCGCGUGAGGGAUGACAGCCCUAUGGAUUGUAAACCUCUUUUGUCAGGGAGCAAAGGGCGCCACGUGUGCCGUUUUGCGAGUACCUGAAGAAAAAGCAUCGGCUAACUCCGUGCCAGCAGCCGCGGUAAUACGUAGGAUGCGAGGGUUAUCCGGAUUUAGUGGGUUUAAAGGGGGCGCAGGCGGAAUGUCAAGUCUGAGGUAAAAUUUCGGGGCACAACCCCGUCGUGCCGUUGAAACUGGCGUGCUGGAGUGAACGAGAAGUAAGCGGAAUGCGUGGUGUAGCGGUGAAAUGCAUAGAUAUCACGCAGAACUCCGGUUGCGAAGGCAGCAUACCGGCGUGCAACUGACGCUGAGGCACGAAAGCGUGGGUAGCGAACAGGAUUAGAUACCCCUGUAGUC